rnacentral:sRNA from 1 species
AGCAGCCGCGGUAAUUCCAGCUCCAAUAGCGUAUAUUAAAGUUGUUGCAGUUAAAAAGCUCGUAGUUGAACCUUAGGCCCGUGCGGGUGGUCCGUCCUCUGGGCGAGCACUGCCUCGUCGCGGGUCUCACCUUCUGGCGAGCGUGGAUGCCAUUCACUUGGUGUCUGCGGGAACCAGGACCUUUACCUUGAAAAAAUUAGAGUGCUCAAAGCGGGCUCGUACGCUUGAAUACAUUAGCAUGGAAUAAUGAAAUAGGACGACGGUUCUAUUUUGUUGGUUUCCGGGACAGUCGUAAUGAUUAAUAGGGAUAGUUGGGGGCAUUCGUAUUCAAUUGUCAGAGGUGAAAUUCUUGGAUUUAUUGAAGACGGACUACUGCGAAAGCAUUUGCCAAGGAUGUUUUCAUUAAUCAAGAACGAAAGUUGGGGGAUCGAAGACGAUCAGAUACCGUCGUAGUCUCAACCAUAAACUAUGCCGACUGGGAAUCGGGCGAUGUUAUUUUUCGUGACUCGCUCGGCGCCCC